rnacentral:lncRNA from 1 species
UUUUUUUAUUAUUUUUUUUUUUUUUCUUCCGCCUAAAUUUUUUUCUUGCGUAGUAUUGAUGUUUCAAAAGAUGUCGCUUAGAUAUUUGGAAUAUGAUAUCGUAUAGUUUAUACGCUUUAAAAAUUUACAACUGCGUAACAAAAUACUUUACGUUGUAAGAGUUAUCUCCCCAAACACUGUUUUUCUUGUGCCACUACUCCUUCGCAACCGUAAAAGAUUACGACAAAUUUAUUUUACCAAAUUGCUCGUUACAUCUUCAGGAUUAGGAUAUUCAUUUGGACCGAAGCUAUCCGGAGACUCCAUAUGAGAGUUAUUUCCCCUUAUGCAUUUGAUAUAAGUGAUAUGCGUUUCUAACUGGUAAACCAUAAGUGAUAUAGGCCUAGGGUCUUUGGAUUUAAGUUCCUUGGUCCAAAAAAAUGAAAAUAAGGUCAAGGUCAAAGGUCAAGGUCAUAUUCUAAAUUUUGAUUUUGGCUUAUUUUCUCUUUAUU